rnacentral:rRNA from 1 species
UACGUGGGGUGCAAGCGUUAAUCGGAAUUACUGGGCGUAAAGCGUGCGCAGGCGGCUUUGCAAGACAGAUGUGAAAUCCCCGGGCUCAACCUGGGAACUGCAUUUGUGACUGCAUGGCUGGAGUGCGGCAGAGGGGGAUGGAAUUCCGCGUGUAGCAGUGAAAUGCGUAGAUAUGCGGAGGAACACCGAUGGCGAAGGCAAUCCCCUGGGCCUGCACUGACGCUCAUGCACGAAAGCGUGGGGAGCAAACAGG